rnacentral:rRNA from 1 species
UACAGAGGGUGCGAGCGUUGUUCGGAAUUAUUGGGCGUAAAGGGCGCGUAGGCGGUGCGGUAAGUCGCCUGUGAAAUCUCCUGACUCAACUGGGAGCUUGCAGGCGAAACUGCCGUGCUGGAGUGUGGGAGAGGUGAGUGGAAUUCCCGGUGUAGUGGUGAAAUGCGUAGAUAUCAAGUGGAACACCAGUGGCGAAGGCGAGUCUCUGGACAUUUCCUGACGCUGAGGCACGAAAGCCAGGGGAGCAAACGGG